rnacentral:snRNA from 1 species
AAGUGUUGCAGCUGUUAGAAUUUGUCUAGCAGGCUUUCCGGUCUACCCCGGAAGGCCCCU